CCUACGGGUGGCAGCAGUGGGGAAUAUUGGACAAUGGGCGAAAGCCUGAUCCAGCCAUGCCGCGUGUGUGAAGAAGGCCUUCGGGUUGUAAAGCACUUUCAGUGGGGAAGAAAGCCUUGGGGCUAAUACCCUCGAGGAAGGACAUCACCCACAGAAGAAGCACCGGCUAACUCCGUGCCAGCAGCCGCGGUAAUACGGAGGGUGCGAGCGUUAAUCGGAAUUACUGGGCGUAAAGCGCGCGUAGGCGGUCUGAUAAGCCGGUUGUGAAAGCCCCGGGCUCAACCUGGGAACGGCAUCCGGAACUGUCAGGCUAGAGUGCAGGAGGGGAAGGUAGAAUUCCCGGUGUAGCGGUGAAAUGCGUAGAGAUCGGGAGGAAUACCAGUGGCGAAGGCGGCCUUCUGGACUGACACUGACGCUGAGGUGCGAAAGCGUGGGUAGCAAACAGGAUUAGAUACCCGGGUAGUC
rnacentral:rRNA from 1 species